CAAAUUUUAUUUUAAUUUUUUCUUUAUUCUUUUUAUAUGUUGUGUCACUUGACUGAGACUUGGUUAAAUCUUAAUCAACUAAGAUCUAGCCACACCCUUUAAUAUUUGACUAACAUACUUGUUAGUUUGGUCAUUACAAAUAGAAGUGCUAUAGCAUAAAUUUAGAAGGGUACAUAAUUGCUCUUUCCUUGCCUGCAACUAAGAUCUAGCCACACCCUUUAAUAUUUGACUAACAUACUUGUCGGUUUGGUCAUUACGAAUAGAAGUGCUAUAGCAUAAAUUUAGAAGGGUACAUAAUUGCCUUUUCCUUGCCUGCUAGUCUGAACACCGAAUAUAUGAGACCAUACAAACUGAUUGAUCUUUGCGAUACUUUGCACUACGAAUCGAACCAAUAAACAUAAGCUUCAGGUUCGGCUCCUAUGCAAGGCAUGAUGACUCCCCGUCCUUCGUGCCCGCUCGUCUCUACGCCGGGGGACAAGUUGUGGUAUGAUUGUGAGUUCUCGGGCACCCGUUGGGGCCCUUCUCCUCCAACUGAGACAGCACGUGUCCACGCCAAUGCGUCGGCGACGGCAGCGCAAUGCCGCCGGGGCCGGGACCGCCGGAGGAGGGUUCCCCGCCUUGCACCUCAUCACCUUGCACCGGCCUCGCAGCCGCCCGGUGCCAUGAUGAGCCGGACGUGGCCAUGAGAACCAAGAGCACGGCCGCUACAAGCUUCCUCACCACCGUGGCCAUGGAGAGUCAGAGACCGAUCGAUGGUGUGUACUGAUUCGAACUUUGUCAGCGGUCGAUCAAAUUAACUAUGCUCUUCUGUGCUGUGUGUCUG
rnacentral:rRNA from 1 species